rnacentral:lncRNA from 1 species
GUCUUUCCACUCCCACAGCCGUUCUUCGCUUGCUUGGCGUGGGCGGUAGUUCUUCAAGCUGUAACUCUUGAGCUGUUAACUCUCAUAGAGCUGUAUACCGAUCAUGCCGGAGUUAUCUUCAAAAGGUGCUGAAGCAGGUUCAUCCUGACACUGGUAUUUCGUCGAAAGCUAUGAGCAUCAUGAAUUCUUUCGUGACUGACAUAUUUGAGCGCAUCGCAGGAGAAGCGUCACGCCUAGCCCAUUACAGUAAGCACUCAACCAUCACAUCUAGAGAGAUCCAGACAGCAGUUCGACUGCUUCUGCCUGGGGAGCUGGCAAAGCAUGCGGUGUCUGAGGGUACUAAGGCUGUCACCAAGUAUACUAGCUCAAAGUAAACUUCCCAAGUAAGCGUCUGCACAUUUAACCCAAAGGCUCUUUUCAGAGCCACCUAAUUUCUCCCAAAAAGUGGCUGUAAACUUUGCAACUGUACCUCUCAAGUAGGUGGGCUAAAGAAAUACUUGACGUUUAAGUUAAACUUAACGGUUCACAAAGGUAUGUAACGCUGUGUGGGAGACAGCAGAUAGCUAUGUGGUUUCUUAAUAGUAGAGGCACUACUCAGUUUACCUCAAUUACAGCAGGAGUAGCCGAAGAGGAACCCUCUGAAAAAUUAGUCGCUUGGAACACGUGGGUAUGACUUGGCGGAACACUAUCGGUGCUCCUGAAAGUUACAUAGGUUUGCUUCCCCAGACUCCCCUCGGAAAACUAAAACUCAGACGACGUUGGGGUCAUAAGAAAAUAUCUCAUGUGCGUAGGACUCAGCACGGCGGGGAGCACGUAGGCAAGGCUUAUGGCUAAGAUCUAUCGUGUCUCCUCCGUGGUUGGCAAGGAGCGAGUGAGCUGGGAGCGAUGCUUUCGCGUCGGGAGCUGGCAAACAACAUGGCAGCGACCGGACGGGCAUCAUCCCGCGUGCUUCUGCGCAUCAUUGCGCAGGGCGUGCUUCCUGUCCCUUAUCCAAGAAAACCGAGGUGCCACCACCCCAGAGGCAAAUGCAGUCAAGUCUCCAGGUAGUACAGCUCAGCGAGUAAUAGGCAUUUCUGGGAACGGAAACAAACAACAACAAACCAAACACCAACGGCGCUUUUUCAGAGCUCUGCACACAACUGCAGAGAAAGAGCCCUGGCCAGAUUCCAAAG